GCCAACCCUAGAGAUUGAAGUCCUCUAAUCACAGAACAGGUGCAGCAUAGGCAACAGCAGUGCAAGUUUCCCUACACACAUCCAACAGCUGACCUUAGCUCUAACUGGAGGGAGCACCUUCAGGAAUGAGACGAGAGUUCAUUAUCUGUGUACCUAGGGACCUUAGGUGCU
rnacentral:sRNA from 1 species